ensembl:lncRNA
GGCGGCGGGGCGGCGCUCGUGACCUGUCGGGAGCUCUGUAGGGAAGGACCCGUCUUUUGUAAUUUCCUACGGUUUCCUAAUAAGGGUGAAAAUGCGGGCACCUCUGAACUUGCAAGCUGGGAGUUCUGAUACAAGUAAACUACAGAAUUUGUUGUUAUUCGGGUUUAUUUGGAGGCUUUUACUUGUCGUUUUUAUGUGUUCUCUUAGUGUGUAAAUUGGAAAAAAGGGUGGCAUCCAUAAAAUGACGACUUUGUAUAUGGAGGCUGGGAUAAGCAGUACCUAGUCUGGCUUGAUGAAAUCAGUGUAAUUUUAGUUUAGAUGAAAUCUAGUUUUCGUUUGCAUUAUCCAGGAGUGGCAUCUGGAGAGGCUCGGUGUAAAAAGCGGUUAAAGAGCUUCCAGGAGUGGUUAAUCCUUUUGUAAGCUAUUUGAAGCCAAAAUGGAAAUCAAGGUAUAUUGGAAGUAAAGUAAGAAUUUAAGCUUCAAAAGGGCGCAGGUUUUGUCCCCGUUUUACAGAUGAUGAAACAGACUGGAAGGUUUCCGACGCGCCGCGGGCCGGGCGGGGCUGCGCCGGCUCCCUCCGGCUCCCUCCGGCCGUCGCCCACCCGCGUCUGUUCCCAUUUCUGCAACCGUGGUUCCCCCUGACUUCUCGUGUGUGUGUUCCUCUCGCGCGCCCUUUUACUUCCUCUGUUUCUUUAACUUCCCCUGUUUUCUUGAUAGUUGAGCCAGCCUUUCCUUCCUCUCCUUUAAAUGCCUCUCCCUUAAAUGGCCGUAAAGAGAAAUAGACCAACUUAAGUUGAUUUUCAUAAGGAUUAUUUUCUUGCUUUAAGGUUUUAUUUUGGGGAGGGGAGUUCAUAGAUAUAAAAUUUCCUCUAGUAAGAGUUGCCUUCCGCUUCCAUAGCUGUUCAGUGAGGGUAGGAGUCUGUGUGUGUGUGUGAAUAGUGAAGAAAAGAGUGUGUGGUGAGCUGUUUAGAAUCAGAAACAGGAGAAAAAUAAUCUAUACAUAAACAAAGAGGUGCUCUAAAUGAUGCCAAACUCAGUUCGAAAUGACAGCGGAGCUGUAGGUUCUGUAAAACUCCGGAAACACGCACUAUUCCCCCUCAGUCCCGGCGCAGGCCUCAGUGAUGCCUUUCCUCAGAGGAUUUGGGGCUUUCCUGGGAUAAACCUGUAGCUUUAGCUGUCCCAGAGGAAGUAAUCACAGGGGCUCUGUGUGAAAUAAAAUAAUGCAUCAGUGUUUCCAGACUACAAGGCCACCCUGUGGGCCUCUCAGUGUGGCAGCACCUGUUCCCAGUUCUGCCAGCGGAUGCUGUUACUCUGGCUCUACACUCGGGGAACCUAAAGCCCGAUGGAAUACUGCUCCAUUCAAGAAUUGCUUCAUAAAGUCAAUUAGAGCUUCAGAUUUACUUGGUUGAAUUUUGUUUUUAACAGGUUUUUUAGAUUCCACAGGAAGACUGGCCCUGAGCUAACAUCCGUGCGCAUCUUCUUCUAUUUUAUAUGUGGGACACCUACCAUAGCACGGCUUGCCAAGCAGUGCCAUGUCCGCACCCGGGAUCCAAACUGGCGAACCCCGGGCCACCGAAGUGAAACGUGCGCACUUAACCUCUGUGCCACCAGGCUGGCCCCUUUCUUGUCUUUUUGAUGAUUACCAUUCUAACAGCUUUCCUAGGGAUGUAAUGACCUUCGGGAAAAAAAACCUCUGCUAUCUGUCCCUGGUGAAGAGAGAAAGGGAUGCUCUGUGGUCUCAAGGACUACAGCUCCAGAUGGUCAACGUCCCGAGACCUCCCCUUUUCCAGCCCAUUUGCCCUAUAAAACUGCCUCACAAUUUUGUAGUUUUAAGAUGGUUCUUUAGGACACGAGUCCACCAUCUUCUCCCUUGCUGGCAGGGUGUAAUAAAAAGGCC